rnacentral:rRNA from 1 species
CUACGGGACGCAGCAGUGAGGAAUUUUGCGCAAUGGGGGAAACCCUGACGCAGCAACGCCGCGUGAGUGAUGAAGGCCUUCGGGUCGUAAAGCUCUGUCAAGUGGGAAGAACCUAUCGAUAUUGAAUAUAUAUUGAUACUGACGGUACCACAAGAGGAAGCACCGGCUAACUCCGUGCCAGGAGCCGCGGUAAUACGGGGGGUGCAAGCGUUAUUCGGAAUCAUUGGGCGUAAAGGGCGCGCAGGCGGCCUUGUAAGUCAGAUGUGAAAGCCCGGGGCUCAACCCCGGAAGCGCAUUUGAAACUAUGAGGCUUGAGUAUGGGAGAGGGAAGUGGAAUUCCUGGUGUAGCGGUGAAAUGCGUAGAUAUCAGGAGGAACACCGGUGGCGAAGGCGACUUCCUGGACCAAUACUGACGCUGAGGCGCGAAGGCGUGGGGAGCAAACAGGAUUAGAUACCCUGGUAGUC